rnacentral:rRNA from 1 species
GCAUUGUGAUGCGCUCUCGAAGAGUCGAGUUGUUUGGGAAUGCAGCUCAAAAUGGGUGGUAAAUUCCAUCUAAAGCUAAAUACAGGCGAGAGACCGAUAGCGAACAAGUACCGUGAGGGAAAGAUGAAAAGAACUUUGGAAAGAGAGUUAAACAGUACGUGAAAUUGUUGAAAGGGAAACGCUUGAAGUCAGUCAUGUUGUUUGGGGAUCAGCCUUGCUUUGCUUGGUGUACUUCCCGUUCAACAGGUCAGCAUCAGUUUUGACCGCUGGAAAAAGUUCAUAGGAAUGUGGCAUCUUCGGAUGUGUUAUAGCCUGUGUUCAUAUACAGUGAUUGGGACUGAGGACUCAGCACUUAGUUGCUUGGGAUGCUGGCAAAAUGGCUUUAAGCGACCCGUCUUGAAACACGGACCAAGGAGUCUAACAUGCCCGCGAGUGUUUGGGUGGAAAACCCGAGCGCGUAAUGAAAGUGAAAAGUUGGGAUCUCUGUCGUGGAGAGCACCGACGCCCGGACCUGAUGUUUUCGGAUGGAUCUGCGGUAGAGCGUGUAUGUUGGGACCCGAAAGAUGGUGAACUAUGCCUGAAUAGGGUGAAGCCAGAGGAAACUCUGGUGGAGGCUCGUAGCGAUUCUGACGUGCAAAUCGAUCGUCGAAUUUGGGUAUAGGGG